rnacentral:rRNA from 1 species
AUCGAACGCUGGCGGCAGGCCUAACACAUGCAAGUCGAGCGGAUGAAGGGAGCUUGCUCCUGGAUUCAGCGGCGGACGGGUGAGUAAUGCCUAGGAAUCUGCCUGGGAGUGGGGGAUAACGUCCGGAAACGGGCGCUAAUACCGCAUACGUCCUGAGGGAGAAAGUGGGGGAUCUUCGGACCUCACGCUAUCAGAUGAGCCUAGGUCGGAUUAGCUAGUUGGUGGGGUAAAGGCCUACCAAGGCGACGAUCCGUAACUGGUCUGAGAGGAUGAUCAGUCACACUGGAACUGAGACACGGUCCAGACUCCUACGGGAGGCAGCAGUGGGGAAUAUUGGACAAUGGGCGAAAGCCUGAUCCAGCCGUGCCGCGUGUGUGAAGAAGGUCUUCGGAUUGUAAAGCACUUUAAGUUGGGAGGAAGGGCAGUAAGUUAAUACCUUGCUGUUUUGACGUUACCAACAGAAUAAGCACCGGCUAACUUCGUG